GACGUAGGUGGCGAACGUUAUCCGGAAUUAUUGGGCGUAAAGAGCGUGUAGGCGGUUUGGUAGGUCCGUUGUGAAAACUCGAGGCUCAACCUCGAGACGCCGAUGGAAACCAUCAGACUAGAGUCCGGAAGAGGAGAGUGGAAUUCCUGGUGUAGCGGUGAAAUGCGCAGAUAUCGGGAAGAACACCCGUGGCUAAGGCGGCUCUCUAGUACGGUACUGACGCUGAGACGCGAAAGCGUGGGGAGCGAACAGG
rnacentral:rRNA from 1 species